rnacentral:lncRNA from 1 species
UUUUUUUUUUUUUUUACAUGUGGAAGCCCAGUUGUUCCAGCACCAUUUAUUGAGAAGACUGUCCUUAGCUACUUUGCCAAAGAUCUGUUAAAUGUAUCUGUUUGGGUCAAAUUCUGUGCUUUGUAUUCUGUUCCAUUGAUCUAUUUGUCUAUUCUUUUGUCAAUACCACAUUCUCUUGAUUACUAUAGCUUUACAGUAAAUUUCGAAGUUGAGUACUUCUAUGGACUGAAUGUUUGUGUCCCCCCAAAAUUUAUAUGUUGAGGCCUAAUCUCCAAUGUGAUGGUAUUUAGACCCAAGGUUUUUGAGAGAUAAUUAGCUCAUGAGAGUUGAGCCCUCAUAAUGAAAUUAAUGCCCUAAUAAGAACAUAGGAGAGAAUUUGCUUUAUCUGUCUCAUUUUCUGCCAUGUGGGGAUACAAUGGGAAGACUGCCAUCUGCACACCCAAAAGUGAGCCUUCACCAGAUUUCCAGAUCUGCCAGCAACUUGAUUUUGGGCUUCUCAGACUUCAGAGAUGUGAGAAACAAAUUUCUGUUGUUUAAGCCACGCAAUCUAUGGUAAUUUGUUCCAACAGCCUGAACUAAGGUACUGUUAGGCCUCUGACUUUGUUCCUCUCCUUUGGUAUUGGUUUGGCUCUUCUGGGUCUUUCAUUUUUCCAUAUAAACUUUAGAAUCAGUUAAUAAUCACAAAAUAACUUGCUGGGAUUUUGAUUGAGAUUGUAUCAGAUCUAUAGAUUAAGUCGGACAGAACUGACAUUUAAAUAUCAAGUACUCCUAUCCAUGAAAAUGGAAUAUCUUUAGAUUUAUUUAGAUCUCCUUUGAACUUUGUAGUUUUUUUCAUUGGAACUUUUAUUAGAACCUUGUAGUUUUUCUUGUAUAAACCUUUUACAUAUUUUGUUAGAUUUACACCUAAGUAUUUCAUUUUAUUUUGGUGCUAAUGUCAGUGGUUAUCGUGUUUUUAAUUUCAAAUACCAAUUGCUUAUUGCUGGUAUGUAAGAAAACAACAGACCAUGUAUGCAGGUCGACUAUUCCUAAUACAGAAAUCCAAAAUAUGAACUACUCCAAAAUAUGAAACUUUUUGAGUGCUGACAUGAGGACCAAGGGAAAUGCUCACUGGAGCAUUUUGGGUUUUGGAGUAGGGAUGGUAAACUCGUAAGUAUAUAAUGCAAAUAUUACAAAAGCAAAAAAAAAAAAAUCAAAAAUUGGAAACAUUUCUGGUCCCAAGCAUUUUGGCUUAGAAUGAGUCUGUUUUAAAGUUGUUCAUGCAAACUUGCUAUAAUUGCUUUUCAUUCUGUCUAUUUUUUUAGAGGAGUGUCAAUUUUUUCCAGAUUUUCUAUGUUAGAAAUCAUCUCAUCUGAAAGCAAAAAGUUGUGUAUCUUCCUUCCCAAUCUACCUUGUAAUUAUUUUUAAAUGUCCAUUUCAUCAGCCUAACUAUAACC